rnacentral:lncRNA from 1 species
GUUGGCGAUCCGCGUGGGUGCGAUCCGACGGCCCAGAUCAAUCACGCGAUCGGACGGCCCAGAUUCAAUCGCACGGACGGCCCAGAUUCAAUCAAAAAACGAACGGCCCAGAUUAAAACAAAAUGAACGGCUGUGAUCAAAAGGCAAGGGGUUAUAAAUAGAACCCCCACACCAGACCACAAACCCUAGCCGCCAGCCGCUCGCCGGAGAAGACGAACCAGAGGCCGACCGCCGCCACCCGCCGCCAGUCGCCGCCGCACCGGGGA